rnacentral:rRNA from 1 species
UACGUAGGGUGCGAGCGUUAAUCGGAAUUACUGGGCGUAAAGCGUGCGCAGGCGGUUUCCCAAGUCAGUGGUGAAAGCCCGGAGCUCAACUCCGGAAUUGCCAUUGAAACUGUGGAACUGGAGGACGAGAGAGGUGAGUGGAAUUCCCAGUGUAGAGGUGAAAUUCGUAGAUAUUGGGAAGAACACCGGUGGCGAAGGCGGCCUUCUGGGACAGUGACUGACGCUGAGACGCGAAAGCGUGGGGAGCAAACAGG